GACAGAGGUGCCAAGCGUUAGGCGGAAUCACUGGGCUUAAAGCGUGUGUAGGCGGAUCGUUAAGUACCUUGUGAAAUCCCACGGCUCAACCGUGGAACUGCUCGGUAUACCGGCGAUCUUGAGCCACCUAGGGGCAACUGGAACAAGCGGUGGAGCGGUGAAAUGCGUAGAUAUCGCUUGGAACGCCAACGGUGAAAACAGGUUGCUGGGGGUGUGCUGACGCUGAGACACGAAAGCCAGGGGAGCGAACGGG
rnacentral:rRNA from 1 species